UCGACCAAACAUCACCUGAUAAAGCCGGCAAUAAAGUUGGCAGAGCUAAUCUAUUGAUAUUUUUAUGAUAAAAGUGGUUUGUAAGUUUUGUGUUUCAUUGAUGUUUAAAUUCUUGUGUUGUCGCUCUAAGGACUCUAGACAAUGAACGUGAUUUAUGAAAUAUCAUUAAAAGAACAAAGACUUACGGUACAGUUUAAGACAAAUGCUUAAGAUAACUCUGUUGAAAGUUUGAUAACAAAAUGGCGACAUAUUCUCAAACUCCCAUUGGUACUGAUUCUGAUAGGGUUAGCUUCUUUUGUUGCACAUCAUGCAAGGACAAGGAAAUUGUUGAAUAUGCAGUGUGUUACUGUGAACGAUGUCAACAGUGUUUUUGUAGAAAGUGUUGUGGGUUACAUGAUCAAUUGUUUAGUAAACAUGUCAAGUACGACCGGAGUAAUAUGAAGAACUGGCCAGUUUCAAAGGAGCUGGAGACUGUUUUACGAAUGUGUCAAAUACACACUAAUAAACGACUAGAGAAGUUCUGCAAAGACGACAGUAUGCUGUGCUGCUCAAAGUGUGUUUUAUAGCAUAGUGGAUGCAGAAAAGUGGCGCUUGACUCAGCCAAGAAACAUUCAGCAGACGUAAAUGAACUGUCUUUGAAGAUUCGGAUCAACAUUUUAAAAUUGAAGAAGCUUCAGAGUUGUUGUGAGUCCAGAAUCAAGGAUCUGAAAGGUUCAUACCAUGAACAAGAACUUAUGGUUCGGAAAAUGCACAAGAAAAUUAAUUUCACCAUGGACAAAUAUGUGAGGAGCACUUUGAAGAAAACGGCUAAGAAUGAGCACAACAUGAUUAAAACAAUCCAUGAAUCAAUGCGUUCCACUUUGUAUAAUAUAGAGAAAAACACUUUGGAUGAAACAAGAAGGACACUACUAAGUCUUCAAGCUUCUACAAAUUCAAGUGUAAAAACCUGCAUCCUUUAUCAGAAUGAAUUAAAAACACUUAAUGAACUCCUUCUAUACAGCAGUGACAAGAACAAGAAAAAACUCCGCUUCAUAGCCAUCCGGAGAUGUAUUACAACAAUAAUGAAUGUUGAGUCAUACUUUAACAGAAACUAUGUUGAAGUAGAAUGUUCGGUAUUAAACCAGAUAAUGAAAGACACUGAGCAGUACAUAUUUAAAUUAUCAGGUCUUGGGAGGCUGGUAAAGAGUAUGAAGCAUCACAAUGACAUUGAACAGUACCUGUCCAAACUGUCCGGUCUUUCGAUAAUAGUUUGCAGUAACUACGUGUUAACUGUGAGCCUGAAGUCUGAGCACAAGUUAAAAAUGCCAAGUGAUUCAAACAUGUGCAUUAUUUCGGCCUUAUGUGUUCUCCCUGGUGAAGAGAUCUUGGUUCUAGACAUGAAUAAUCACACUAUCAAGCUACUGGACCAGCACUACGAGUUGUUGAGUCACUGUGGGGUUGCUGCUAUUUCCCGUGAAAUAUGUCAGAUCACACCCAGAGAGGUGGCAUUAACUGUAAAUAAUAGUCUAAUUCAUGAUGUCCAGUUUAUCACAGUCACUACUAGCGAGCUUGUGACCGGAAAGGACGAUUCAGCUACAACAUGAAUGUAUAGGUAUUUCCCACCAUCAGGGAGACCUGUUUAUUACUUCUGAUACAGCAGUGUACAAGUAUUCACCGAGUGGUAAACAAACCAGUAAACUAUACGAGGAUAAAUCAGGUGUUCAAACAGUAUGGAAGUGUGCUGUGAGUCCCAAAGGGGACAAGUUGUACAUCAUCAACACAUUUGAGCACAUGCUCAUCACCCUGGCCAGGGAUGGAUCAGUCCUUGCUACCUUCAGAGACCCUGAGCUAACAUAUCCAAAUAGUGUCCAUGUGACCCCUGCAGGCCAGGUGCUGGUGUGCUAUAAAAGCUUCAACGGACCUAUCCUGCAGGUACACAGAGAGGGCAACAGGAAGCUAGCCACUCUGGCACAACUAAGGUAUGGAUUAGGCAUUAUGAAAUCAGCAUCAGUCUGCUACAACAGCACCACAUCAUCUAUCAUUGUGGGACAAGCCGACAGUAUCCUGGUGUUCAAAGUGCAAUAGUUGACUUCUACAUUAAUCUUUUUGCUUGUUGUUGUUUUUGUGUGUGUGUUUUUCUUUUUUUUUUGGGGGGGGGGUUGAUGUUUAUUUGUUAAGUUAUGUACCUUCUGUUCAUCUACAUAAACUACAAAUUCUUACUUUACAUUUUAAUGUGUUACUGUACAAUGCAAUUACUUUAACAAUCUGUUUAACUUGUUUGAUAUAUAAAAGGUAUUGUUAUAAAAGAUGUAGAUACAAUCAGUAAAUAACAUUGUACAGACAUAUAGACCGUAAAUUUGUUAGUAAUACGAGUAUGAAUAAGUGAUUCAAUUUUAAUAGAUAAUGUAUCGUUGUGACACCUCGCUUUAGCGUUUACCUGGUAUAAGAGGUCAGUCUAGAUUCCUCCCUGACGAAAAUCAUUAGAAAUUACAAUUGACUUAAAUGUUUACCUUGCACAUGCGACAAGCUUAAUUAACAACGAAAGAUAUCUCAUGGGUUCAGAAUCUGAUAUUGGUUACAACAUGUGAUAUAAUAUAUCCCAUCAAAUGCGAGUUAACAAAUAAUAGGGUGUUGAUAUGGUGUGUUCAACAGUAAAAAUAACGAAAAAUAUUCUAAUUAAAAUGACUCAGAGUGAGUUACACGUUUCAAAUUAUUAUUGCUCAUACAAUGAUCGCUAAUUAAAACUUAAGAACGUUGAGUACAUGUACCUUAUUUUUCCCGACAAUAAGUCACAUCAGUAGAUCAAGAUUUGAUUUAAAUGAACAUAUAAAUUCCAAAUUAUUUGCGAUGCAAUUCUGUUGAAAUGCUCUACACAAUUUUAAACCAAUAUUAAGUUUUUCGAGCUAAAAUGUUUUUGUUAAAAAUUUAAUACACCAGCGCUUUCCAUGCGGAUGACAGGCCAUUAUACAUGCAGCAGCAUGUGUGCGUCCUUUUUAUCAGGACAAAAUAUUAACACAUAACACUGCUGAUAGUUUAUGUCUCGUCAACAACAAAUGUGAUAGUUCCUUAAUCAAUUAAUGCAUACUGUGCUUUAGAAGAUACCUACAUGAAUUAAUAUAGUAUGUCGCUCUUUCAAUAUUUAACAUUUAGCGAUGUGCUAUGGUUGUUUGAAUACAAAAUGCUGGUUGUGAGUAUUUUGUGUGCUAAUAAGGUUUGCGAAGCUAAACAUUAUGUUUCUUAUAGUUUAUCAACUCUGUGUACAUGCAAGUCUAACAUAGAAAUUUACUUGUUUAUUACUUUAUACAUUAAAAUUAUUUAUUGAUUUUUGAGUGUUUUUAUCUUUGAAUGAUGAUGAUUCUGUCGGAUGAUCAACCAUCCAAGAGAUAACCAAAUUCACUUAAGCGGUUACGUUAAAACAGGUUAGACACUAUAUUGUGGUGUGUUUCACUAAACAAACGUUUGUGCAAAUGAUAUUACAUAAGAUUUUAAAUUCAUAUCCUUAUCUGAUCAUAAAAUUGAAAGUAAAUAAAGUUAUUUUUGUCUUUGAACACAUUUACAAUAACUGUGUGUCAAAGAACAUGUAAGCAAAUGUAGUUCGAAAUUUUAUGUAUGUUGAUAACCAAACAUGUACAUGACAUGCAGGCAAUUUUAAGAUUGAUAUUUCUUCAUAUGUUCGAAUUCUAUUUUGAGCAAUUACUUGG